rnacentral:rRNA from 1 species
CUACGGGAUGCAGCAGUAGGGAAUCUUAGACAAUGGGGGAAACCCUGAUCUAGCCAUGCCGCGUGAGUGAUGAAGGCCUUAGGGUUGCAAAGCUCUUUCGCUGGGGAAGAUAAUGACGGUACCCAGUAAAGAAACCCCGGCUAACUCCGUGCCAGCAGCCGCGGUAAUACGGAGGGGGUUAGCGUUGUUCGGAAUUACUGGGCGUAAAGCGCGCGUAGGCGGGCUAUUAAGUCAGGGGUGAAAUCCCGGGGCUCAACCCCGGAACUGCCUUUGAUACUGGUAGUCUUGAGUUCGAGAGAGGUGAGUGGAAUUCCGAGUGUAGAGGUGAAAUUCGUAGAUAUUCGGAGGAACAUCAGUGGCGAAGGCGACUCACUGGCUCGAUACUGACGCUGAGGUGCGAAAGUGUGGGGAGCAAACAGGAUUAGAUACCCUUGUAGUC